rnacentral:rRNA from 1 species
AGUGAACGCUGGCGGUAGGCCUAACACAUGCAAGUCGAACGGCAGCACAGUAAGAGCUUGCUCUUACGGGUGGCGAGUGGCGGACGGGUGAGGAAUACAUCGGAAUCUACUUUUUCGUGGGGGAUAACGUAGGGAAACUUACGCUAAUACCGCAUACGACCUACGGGUGAAAGCAGGGGAUCUUCGGACCUUGCGCGAUUGAAUGGGCCGAUGUCGGAUUAGCUAGUUGGCGGGGUAAAGGCCCACCAAGGCGACGAUCCGUAGCUGGUCUGAGAGGAUGAUCAGCCACACUGGAGCUGAGACACGGUCCAGACUCCUACGGGAGGCAGCAGUGGGGAAUAUUGGACAAUGGGCGCAAGCCUGAUCCAGCCAUACCGCGUGGGUGAAGAAGGCCUUCGGGUUGUAAAGCCCUUUUGUUGGGAAAGAAAAGCAGCAGGUUAAUACCCCGCUGUUCUGACGGUACCCAAAGAAUAAGCACCGGCUAACUUCGUG